rnacentral:rRNA from 1 species
AUACGGAGGGGACUAGCGUUGUUCGGAAUUACUGGGCGUAAAGCGUACGUAGGCGGAUCAGAAAGUAUGGGGUGAAAUCCCAGGGCUCAACCCUGGAACUGCCUCAUAAACUCCUGGUCUUGAGUUCGAGAGAGGUGAGUGGAAUUCCGAGUGUAGAGGUGAAAUUCGUAGAUAUUCGGAGGAACACCAGUGGCGAAGGCGGCUCACUGGCUCGAUACUGACGCUGAGGUACGAAAGCGUGGGGAGCAAACAGGAGUAGAUACCCGAGUAGUCC